GUCAAAUAGUUUCAAGGAAAUGACAUUUGGACAACCAGCAAAUGAGGGUUUCCUCCCACUUCCUGCCAUCCAUCUCCAUUUCCCUCUGUUCAAUCUCUCUUCUCCCUCCAGUGGUUCAUUCCUCUGGCAAAUAGCAUCUCUCCUAUGCUCCCUUCUACUCUCCUCUGGGGUCAGCUGAGCACUGCUUUCUUGAUGAUGCUACGUUAGGAAAUUAUCAAAACCCCAAAUCUCAGUUGCUUCCAAUUCCCCUAUACCUGUCCCAGAACCUGGCCUGGGACAUGACUUCACUGGUAGCAGGGAGGCUAGCAGCUAAGCUGUCCAGGGUAAGCAUGCAGAGCUGAGUCCUCUUACUCCAGGACUCACUCUGGAGGUCCUGACCCUCAACUCUUCAUUCAUGUGUGACUCUGGAGGAGGAGGCUUAUGCUGUCUGGGUCUCCAUUUUUUCAUCUGAGGCAACAUGGGAUGGAAAAUCUAUUUCUGUGGUACCAGCACUCCUUGCCGAUGGAUGGGUACAAACAGCUUGCAUGGAUGUGAAGAGCUAAGACACCACGUGCAGACGGACACCAUCCUGCUGGCUUGGCCCUAAGACUGCAGGCAGAACCUGCCAGCCACAAGUCUCCCAGCCAGCCAGGCAGACGCAGUGGGGCUGGGGGGCUUGCGGAGGGUGGAGAGAAGAACAUCAGCUCCAGGGCAGGAGCAAGUGGAGGAGACUCAGGUACCAUUGAUCCAGAGGUGACUGAGCAUGGGUGCCACCUGGAAGAAGUCUCGGUCUAGGGUGGGGACAGAAUGUAACCAUCGGUACCACCUUAAACACUUCGAAAAGUACUGUGGAGAAUGAAUGGAUGGCAAAUGACUUAUCAGAGCCAGCAUUGAGGAAUGAGCCAAGUCCAAUGGGAACACAGGAAAAGGACCCUUUGCUCUGCCAGGAGAGUCACAGAAGGCUUUGCUGGUGGAGGAUGAGAUGCAAUUUCAGCCUGAAAUGAUGAGGAGUUUGUCUUCAGCCAUGUGGAGAAAGGAGCAUUCCAGGCAGAGGGACCAGUCUGAGCAAAGGCAUUCGGGUGUAAAAUUAUUGCCUAGGAUUGGAGUGAAGGAUAUGUAGCGCUACUGACAAGAGACUCCUCUUCAAGAGCAGGCCACAUAUCCUUUAUUUCCCAG
rnacentral:lncRNA from 1 species